rnacentral:tRNA from 1 species
GGUCAUGGCUCAGUGGCAGAAUAUCUGCCUGGCAUGGAGAAGGUCCCAGAUCCAAUCUCUGGCAUCUCUA